rnacentral:rRNA from 1 species
UAGGGAAUCUUCCACAAUGGACGAAAGUCUGAUGGAGCAACACCGCGUGGUGGAUGAAGCCUCUUGGGGUGUAAACACCUUUUCUGGGGGAAGAAUUAUGACGGUACCCUAGGAAUAAGCACCGGCUAACUCUGUGCCAGCAGCCGCGGUAAUACGGAGGGUGCAAGCGUUAUCCGGAAAUCAUUGGGCGUAAAGCGUCCGCAGGUUGUUUAGUAAGUUAUGUAUGAAAGACGACAGCUCAACUGUUGGAACGUAUGUAAUACUGCUAGACUAGAGUAUUGGAGAGGUAAGCAGAAUUCUGCAUGUAGGGGUAAAAAUCCGUAGAUAUGCAGAGGAAUACCAAAAGCGAA